CCUAAGGCUUCUCUAGAAGCCAGCAAGAGAUUUUUUAACUCAGAA
rfam:Calypte anna contig27564, whole genome shotgun sequence.